AUCCAUCUUCCUUUGGUACAUAAUCUUAGAGUGGUCCCCUCUUGAAAGACCCAUUAUUUCAGGGUUUCAGAUGUUUGAUUGAAUGUUUCAGUCAAUUCAAUUACAUUUCUUGGAAGCCAUUAGUUUUUGGGUUCAUUUUUUCUUUGUUUGUAUUCUUGCUUACAGGACACAAAAGACAUACAUGAUUUACCAGAUUAUUUUGUUUAGGUGCCAAGGUAUAGACUGGCCACUUUAG